UAGUCAUCGCUCUAAGCGAUGGCCGAUAAACGAGAAGCCUCACGGUGCAUGAGCUCACUUUGCUUGUGAUUUGUUCCUGUCAUCCAUCAUACCGAUCUGCCAUGACAAUAGAUGCAUCGCGGGUUGUCUUUACGACUCCCGGGCCACCUACUCCUCACCACCUCUCGGCAGACAGACAACAGGUUCAAAAGCACGAAAGCGGCUUUGUUUUAAACAAACAGAUUUAUUCGAUAUCACAGUCCACCAGGCAAUGUGUCCGUCGCAAACUCCCUGUCCAUUUUUUUGUUGAACGGCAGUGACUUACGUUCACUUGCGACAUCGAAUAGCGACAAAACUGUUAAACUGUAAUUCGACCAGCUUUACGCUCACCUUAAGCCUGCAGCAGCGACU